GAUGAACGCUGGCGGCGUGCUUAACACAUGCAAGUCGAACGAAGCAUUUGCGACAGAUUUCUUCGGGAUGAAGUUGCUUAUGACUGAGUGGCGGACGGGUGAGUAACGCGUGGGUAACCUGCCUUGUACUGGGGGAUAGCAGUUGGAAACGACUGCUAAUACCGCAUAAGCGCACAGGGUCGCAUGACCUGGUGUGAAAAACUCCGGUGGUAUGAGAUGGACCCGCGUCUGAUUAGCCAGUUGGUGGGGUAACGGCCUACCAAAGCGACGAUCAGUAGCCGACCUGAGAGGGUGACCGGCCACAUUGGGACUGAGACACGGCCCAAACUCCUACGGGAGGCAGCAGUGGGGAAUAUUGCACAAUGGGGGAAACCCUGAUGCAGCGACGCCGCGUGAGCGAAGAAGUAUUUCGGUAUGUAAAGCUCUAUCAGCAGGGAAGAAGAAAUGACGGUACCUGACUAAGAAGCA
rnacentral:rRNA from 1 species